ACUGGUAGCCUGGGAACAUAUAGUCCCAGGUCUUUCUCUGCCCCUGUGGUGAAUUGUGGAGUGUUUCCCAUGUGGUAUUGGUGUGCUGGAUAUCCCUUCACUGGUAGCCUGGUAAAGUAUAGUCCCAGGUCUUUCUCUGCCUCUGUGGUGGAUAGUGGAGUGUUUCCCAUGUGGUAUUGAUGUGCUGGAUAUCCCUUCACUGGUAGCCUGGUAAAGUAUAGUCCCAGGUCUUUCUCUGCAUCUGUGGUGGAUAGUGGAGUGUUUCCCAUGUGGUAUUGGUGUGCUGGAUAUCCCUUCACUGGUAGCCUGGUAACAUACACUCCCAGAUCUUUCUCUGCCUCUGUGGUGGAUAGUGGAGUGUUUCCCAUGUGGUAUUGGUGUGCUGGAUAUCCCCUCCCAAGGUGCAGGAAUUUACAUUUUUCUUCAUUGAAUUGUAGCAGCCACUUUUUGUUCCAUUCCUAUAGCUUGGUGAGGUCUUCUUAUAGGAAAUCCACAGUCAAGGGGCUAAGCAGAAUUUUCCAGGCCUUUUUCCCCGAUGCAAAUAGUUAGAACCUGAGCGGGGUGAUGAAUGUACCCUCUUUACCCCCCUCCCACAGGCACUCCCGAAGGAACAGUGGAGGAAGUACCAGCUGAUGACCGGAGAAAGCAGGGAGAGGCUGGAGUGCCGAGGGGUGCCGCUGCGGUGCCUGGACGAGGCGGACCGGGAGGAAAAGCACCAGGCCGAGGAGAUGAAGAGGGACAUUGCCGACUUGGUGGACAUGUACCGGAUGGGCAAUGGUGUCUGGUGUGUGCGUGCGAGUGUAUGCGUACAUGUGUGUGUGUGUUUACCUAGUUGUGACAUAUGGGAAAAGAGCUAUGCUGGUGCUGUCCCGUCUCCAUAUCCACUCUUUUCUAAUUUUUCCUUAACCUGGUGGUAGCAGCGGGGAUCAUGUUUCUUAAUGGUCCCUCCAAGCGAGAAAAAUGAGAAAAAAUCACCCCUCAUACAAACCAUUUCAUAAUAUAUAUCAAAGCAUUUGUGAUCAGUUUAUGUAUCAUCUAUUUUGGGGGGUUUAUAUCAUGGCACAAAUUUGGCCCGUCGCAUCUACACGGUAAAGCCACAAAUUUGGCCCGUCGCUGCUACACGGUAAAGCCACAAAUUUUGCCCGUCGCUGCUACACGGUAAAGCCACAAAUUUGGCAUUCGCUGCUACACGGUGAAGCCACAAAUUUGGCCCGUUGCUGCUACACGGUAAAGCCACAAAUUUGGCCCGUCGCUGCUACACGGUAAAGCCACAAAUUUGGCAUUCGCUGCUACACGGUAAAGCCACAAAUUUGGCCCGUCGCUGCUACUAGGUUAAAUUGACCUCUCUUUUGGACACUCCUCUGAGCGCUUUUUGUGGGAGCAGCAAAUAGCAGGCUUUUUUUUCAUUAAUGUUUCUUUUUUUUUGCCCUUGAGCUGCUUCCUCUGCUGUAAAAAAAGAGAAAGUAUAUAAUCCCUGUGAUCACUGCUCCUCAUCUUCACAUGGAAAUACCAGCAACAAGAACAAUGCAACUCACACCAAUCCUUUGUUCCCUUCCUCACCCUUCCCCGCAGCCAUUGUGCUGCCUCGGCCAGGAAGCACUCGCUGGAGACUCACAAGCUGCUGGGUGACUCGGAGGGCUUCGGGAACAGCCUUGAGGAAACUGCCGAGAAUCUGAAGCAGCUCUUGUCCAAGUGAUGAUGCUCCCAGCCAGGACUGGGAUGAGGACGUCCCUGUCCACACCCUGCAGCUCAACAAGCAUACCACAUGUUGAACACUGUCACAGGUCAAGAUCUUCUCCCCGGACCUGCUGUACCGGUUGAUGUACUUGGCGGCAGUGAGUGACAUCCCCCUGUCCGUGACCACUGAGAUGCUGGAAGAGUGUGGCCUGGACUACCUCCCCAAAACAGCCUGCUCGCAGCGACGGGCAAAAUUUGUUGAGGCGGGAUGCAGCGUGCUCUGAGGCGACCCCGGGCAGGAGGCAACAUGCGACCUCGAGCACCAGACCUUUGACCUCUAUUCAGGAGCAAUCGUGCAACUGAUGGAAGCUGGCAAAGGAAGUUGCUGAUAUGUGGGCUAUGGCUGACUGGCUGGUGCUGUCUGGUCACUCAGCUCAGUAAGGGACUGGAAGCUGGAUCUCUCUCUCUCUCACAAAAAAAAGUAACGUAAAAGUGUAUAAGGUCCAUUGAAAAGAAGAGAGAGAGCCAUCUCAUCCUCUCUCUCUCUCCCCUCAGCAUCCAGGCGGCAUCUUGGGAGGGGAGGGGAAGAGAAGAGAAGAGAAGGGAAGGGAAGGGAAGGGAAGAAUACAAUAGCUCACUGGUGAACAGAGGAAAGAGACAAGGAAGAAGAAGAAGAAGAGUAGGUUUAAAUAUAUCCAUUGUAAUAUAUAUUUCCAAACUUUAUUAGUCUUCUCUUUAUAGAAAUACAGAGAGAGAGAGUUAGUUCCAUCUCUCUCUCUCUCUCAUCUCUGCCCUUCAAUUAAUCUCCCUCCAUCUUCUCCCCAACAAGACUCGUCUCCCCCAGCAUCCAGGCAGCAUCUUGAAGGCCUGACUGGUUCCCUCGGCUCAGUGGUCUCGUCUCUGUCUCCC